rnacentral:tRNA from 1 species
GGGGAUGUAGCUCAGUGGUAGAGUGAUUGCCUAGCAUGCAUGAAAUCCUGGGUUUAAUCCCCCGCCACCACCC